UCCGUGUAACUCAUCCCCUCAUCAUCACAUAUAUCUAUAUAAAGAGGUCUUUCUUUCUCUCAAGUCAUCCAUUGCAGCUCUCAAGAACAAAAGAAAAAAUCAGAGAAUUCCAGAUCCUUCUUCUUCUCUACAAAUCACUCACCUGAUACUCCAGCAAGACUUCCGAAUAUAAUUGAUAAUGAUCUCCGUUGUAAUCAUCACUGGUCUACUAGUGGAGUACACAGCAGCUCUCGCAAAACUCACCGCAGGGAUUAUUCCGAGACGGCAAGGAGACAGCAACGUAGUACGAGUUGGUGGUUUCGUCUUGUCUUGUCCUUCUCCGUGGAGUACUAAUCGUUCGUCGCCGAUACCAGACUUUUCUUCUCAUCUAGUAGAUUUCUGAUAUGUGACGACUUUUAGAGAUUUUUAUUUUGGAUUUUGUCAUCUUUUUUUAAUCUCUUCUAGAAGAGUGACGGCGGAGAUUUUUCCCUCGAGUGUCUCUAUGCCCUCUCUUCCUCUUUGUAAAUCUGUAUCGAAAUAUAAUAGAAAUUCACUAGUAAAAAUCUGUCGCACAGCCAUUAUAGUGCCACGGUAAAACCGUGGCUAAAUUAAAAAAGCCACGAUAAGUGUGUUGCUGAGUUAUUAUAUUAAAAAAAAAAAAAAAACAAAAACGCAAAUGUGUAUAGUUGUGCGCGUACGACGCGGUUGUUUUGUCUUUUUUAAAUAUAAAAGAUAAUUAAAAGUGAGUCCGUGUAACUCAUCCCCUCAUCAUCACAUAUAUCUAUAUAAAGAGGUCUUUCUUUCUCUCAAGUCAUCCAUUGCAGCUCUCAAGAACAAAAGAAAAAAUCAGAGAAUUCCAGAUCCUUCUUCUUCUCUACAAAUCACUCACCUGAUACUCCAGCAAGACUUCCGAAUAUAAUUGAUAAUGAUCUCCGUUGUAAUCAUCACUGGUCUACUAGUGGAGUACACAGCAGCUCUCGCAAAACUCACCGCAGGGAUUAUUCCGAGACGGCAAGGAGACAGCAACGUAGUACGAGUUGGUGGUUUCGUCUUGUCUUGUCCUUCUCCGUGGAGUACUAAUCGUUCGUCGCCGAUACCAGACUUUUCUUCUCAUCUAGUAGAUUUCUGAUAUGUGACGACUUUUAGAGAUUUUUAUUUUGGAUUUUGUCAUCUUUUUUUAAUCUCUUCUAGAAGAGUGACGGCGGAGAUUUUUCCCUCGAGUGUCUCUAUGCCCUCUCUUCCUCUUUGUAAAUCUGUAUCGAAAUAUAAUAGAAAUUCACUAGUAAAAAUCUGUCGCACAGCCAUUAUAGUGCCACGGUAAAACCGUGGCUAAAUUAAAAAAGCCACGAUAAGUGUGUUGCUGAGUUAUUAUAUUAAAAAAAAAAAAAAACAAAAACGCAAAUGUGUAUAGUUGUGCGCGUACGACGCGGUUGUUUUGUCUUUUUUAAAUAUAAAAGAUAAUUAAAAGUGAGUCCGUGUAACUCAUCCCCUCAUCAUCACAUAUAUCUAUAUAAAGAGGUCUUUCUUUCUCUCAAGUCAUCCAUUGCAGCUCUCAAGAACAAAAGAAAAAAUCAGAGAAUUCCAGAUCCUUCUUCUUCUCUACAAAUCACUCACCUGAUACUCCAGCAAGACUUCCGAAUAUAAUUGAUAAUGAUCUCCGUUGUAAUCAUCACUGGUCUACUAGUGGAGUACACAGCAGCUCUCGCAAAACUCACCGCAGGGAUUAUUCCGAGACGGCAAGGAGACAGCAACGUAGUACGAGUUGGUGGUUUCGUCUUGUCUUGUCCUUCUCCGUGGAGUACUAAUCGUUCGUCGCCGAUACCAGACUUUUCUUCUCAUCUAGUAGAUUUCUGAUAUGUGACGACUUUUAGAGAUUUUUAUUUUGGAUUUUGUCAUCUUUUUUUAAUCUCUUCUAGAAGAGUGACGGCGGAGAUUUUUCCCUCGAGUGUCUCUAUGCCCUCUCUUCCUCUUUGUAAAUCUGUAUCGAAAUAUAAUAGAAAUUCACUAGUAAAAAUCUGUCGCACAGCCAUUAUAGUGCCACGGUAAAACCGUGGCUAAAUUAAAAAAGCCACGAUAAGUGUGUUGCUGAGUUAUUAUAUUAAAAAAAAAAAAAAACAAAAACGCAAAUGUGUAUAGUUGUGCGCGUACGACGCGGUUGUUUUGUCUUUUUUAAAUAUAAAAGAUAAUUAAAAGUGAGUCCGUGUAACUCAUCCCCUCAUCAUCACAUAUAUCUAUAUAAAGAGGUCUUUCUUUCUCUCAAGUCAUCCAUUGCAGCUCUCAAGAACAAAAGAAAAAAUCAGAGAAUUCCAGAUCCUUCUUCUUCUCUACAAAUCACUCACCUGAUACUCCAGCAAGACUUCCGAAUAUAAUUGAUAAUGAUCUCCGUUGUAAUCAUCACUGGUCUACUAGUGGAGUACACAGCAGCUCUCGCAAAACUCACCGCAGGGAUUAUUCCGAGACGGCAAGGAGACAGCAACGUAGUACGAGUUGGUGGUUUCGUCUUGUCUUGUCCUUCUCCGUGGAGUACUAAUCGUUCGUCGCCGAUACCAGACUUUUCUUCUCAUCUAGUAGAUUUCUGAUAUGUGACGACUUUUAGAGAUUUUUAUUUUGGAUUUUGUCAUCUUUUUUUAAUCUCUUCUAGAAGAGUGACGGCGGAGAUUUUUCCCUCGAGUGUCUCUAUGCCCUCUCUUCCUCUUUGUAAAUCUGUAUCGAAAUAUAAUAGAAAUUCACUAGUAAAAAUCUGUCGCACAGCCAUUAUAGUGCCACGGUAAAACCGUGGCUAAAUUAAAAAAGCCACGAUAAGUGUGUUGCUGAGUUAUUAUAUUAAAAAAAAAAAAAAACAAAAACGCAAAUGUGUAUAGUUGUGCGCGUACGACGCGGUUGUUUUGUCUUUUUUAAAUAUAAAAGAUAAUUAAAAGUGAGUCCGUGUAACUCAUCCCCUCAUCAUCACAUAUAUCUAUAUAAAGAGGUCUUUCUUUCUCUCAAGUCAUCCAUUGCAGCUCUCAAGAACAAAAGAAAAAAUCAGAGAAUUCCAGAUCCUUCUUCUUCUCUACAAAUCACUCACCUGAUACUCCAGCAAGACUUCCGAAUAUAAUUGAUAAUGAUCUCCGUUGUAAUCAUCACUGGUCUACUAGUGGAGUACACAGCAGCUCUCGCAAAACUCACCGCAGGGAUUAUUCCGAGACGGCAAGGAGACAGCAACGUAGUAC
rnacentral:lncRNA from 1 species